rnacentral:misc_RNA from 1 species
GAUGAAGAACGUAGCGAAAUGCGAUAAGUAAUGUGAAUUGCAGAAUUCAGUGAAUCAUCGAAUCUUUGAGCGCACCUUGCGCCCUUUGGCCAUUCCGAAGGGCAUGCCUGUUUGAGUAUCAUGAACACCUCAACUCUUCAUGGUUUUCCAUGAUGAGCUUGGACUUUGGGGGUCUUGCUGGCCUGUGGGUCGGCUCCUCUCAAAUGAAUCAGCUUGCCGGUUUUUGGUGGGCAUCACAGGUGUGAUAACUAUCUACGCUUGUGGUUUUCCACCAGGGUAACCUUCAGCAGUGGAGGUUCACUGGAGCUUACAAAUGUCUCUCCUCUGUGAGGACAGCCCUUUGAAUGUUUGAUCUCAAAUCAGGUAGGACUACCCGCUGAACUUAAGCAUAUCAAUAAGCGGAGGA